rnacentral:rRNA from 1 species
CUCUGUGACUCCUACGGGGAGGCAGCAUGGGGGAAUAUUGCACAAUGGGGGAAACCCUGAUGCAGCCAUGCCGCGUGUGUGAAGAAGGCCUCGGGUUGUAAAGCACUUUCAGUAGGGAGGAAGGUAGUCGUAGUUAACACCUGCAUUAUUUGACGUUACCUACAGAAGAAGCACCGGCUAACUCCGUGCCAGCAGCCGCGGUAAUACGGAGGGUGCGAGCGUUAAUCGGAAUUACUGGGCGUAAAGCGCAUGCAGGCGGCCUGUUAAGUCAGAUGUGAAAGCCCGGGGCUUAACCUCGGAAUUGCAUUUGAAACUGGCAGGCUAGAGUCUUGUAGAGGGGGGUAGGAAUUUCAGGUGUAGCGGUGAAAUGCGUAGAGAUCUGAAGGAAUACCAGUGGCGAAGGCGGCCCCCUGGACAAAGACUGACGCUCAGAUGCGAAAGCGUGGGGAGCAAACAGGAUUAGAUACCCUGGUAG